AUGUGACUGUGGAUCGAGCCCAUGUGAAGCCUCUUCGACGAGUCGAGUUGUUUGGGAAUGCAGCUCACAAUGGGUGGUAAAUUUCAUCUAACGCUAAAUACUGGCUGGAGACCGAUAGCGCACAAGUAGAGUGAUCGAAAGAUGAAAAGCACUUUGGAAAGAGAGUCAAACAGUACGUGAAAUUGUUGAAAGGGAAGCGCUUGCAACCAGACCUGUCCGUAGGUGAUCAGCCGCUGUUCUCACUGGUGCACUCGCUCUGCGAUCAGGCCAGCAUCGGUUCGGGCGGUCGGAUAAAGGCCUUGGGAAUGUAGCUUCCUUCGGGGAGCCUUAUAGCCCUCGGUGCAAUGCGGCCAGCCGGGACCGAGGACCGCGCUUCGGCUAGGAUGCUGGCGUAAUGGUUGUAAGCGACCCGUCUUGAAACACGGACCAAGGAGUCUAACAUCUAUGCGAGUGUUUGGGUGUUAAACCCAUGCGCGGAAUGAAAGUGAACGGAGGUGAGAACCCUUAAGGGCGCAUCAUCGACCGAUCCAGAUGUCUUCGGAUGGAUUUGAGUAUGAGCAUAGCUGUUGGGACCCGAAAGAUGGUGAACUAUGCCUGAUAGGGUGAAGCCAGAGGAAACUCUGGUGUAGGCUCGCAGCGGUUCUGACGUGCAAAUCGAUCGUCAAAUUUGGGUAUAGGGGCGAAAGACUAAUCGAACCAUCUAGUAGCUGGUUCCUGCCGAGUCCUCCU
rnacentral:rRNA from 1 species